rnacentral:rRNA from 1 species
GACGAACGCUGGCGGCGUGCCUAAUACAUGCAAGUAGAACGCUGAGUGAUGAGCUUGCUGCCCCGGAUGAGUUGCGAACGGGUGAGUAACGCGUAGGUAACCUGCCUGGUACCGGGGGAGAACUAUUGUAAACCAUAGCUAAUACCGCAUAAGAGUAGAUGUUGCAUGACAUUUGCUUAAAAGUUGCAAUUUCAUCACUACCACAUGGACCUGCGUUGGAUUCGCUAGUUGGUCGGGUAACGGCUUACCAAGGCGACGAUGCAUAGCCGACCCGAGAGGGUGAUCAGCCACACGUGGACUGAGACGAGGCCCCGAAUUCUGACGGAGGCACCAGUAGGGCAUCUUCGGGAAUAGGCGGAAGUCUGACCGAGCAACGGCGCGUGAGUGAAACAGGUUUUCGGAUCGUGAAGGUAUGUUGUCAGAGAAGAACGAGUGUGAGAGUGGAAAGUACACACAGUGACGGUAUCUGACCAGAAAGCGACGGCUAACUACGUG